rnacentral:rRNA from 1 species
CAUGCAAGUCGAGCGGUAACAGACAUAAAGAUUCAGCUUGCUGAAUCCGGUGCUGACGAGCGGCGAACGGGUGAGUAACGCGUAGGAAUCUACCCAGUAGCGGGGGAUAGCCCGAGGAAACUCGGAUUAAUACCGCAUACGCCCUGAGGGGGAAAGGGGGCAGUUUACUGCUCUCACUAUUGGAUGAGCCUGCGUAAGAUUAGCUUGUUGGUAGGGUAAUGGCCUACCAAGGCGACGAUCUUUAGCUGGUCUGAGAGGACGAUCAGCCACAUUGGGACUGAGACACGGCCCAGACAUCUACGGAUGGCAGCAGUUAAGAAUAUUGGACAAUGGGGGCAACCCUGAUCCAGGUAUACCGCGUGUGUGAAGAAGGCCCUAGGGUUGUAAAGCACUUUAAUCAGAGAAGAAGCAUUUUAAGUUAAUACCUUAAUAUGUUGACGUUACCUGAAGAAUAAGGACCGGCUAACUCCGUGCCAGCAGCCGCGGUAAUACGGAGGGUCCAAGCGUUAAUCGGAAUUACUGGGCGUAAAGCGCGCGUAGGCGGUUUAGCAAGUUGUAUGUGAAAGCCCUGGGCUCAACCUAGGAACUGCAUCCAAAACUACUAAGCUAGAGUACGAGAGAGGAGAGUAGAAUUUCUGGUGUAGCGGUGAAAUGCGUAGAUAUCAGAAGGAAUACCAAUGGCGAAGGCAGCUCUCUGGCUCGUCACUGACGCUGAGGUGCGAAAGCGUGGGUAGCAAACAGGAUUAGAUACCCUGGUAGUCCACGCCGUAAACGAUGAGAACUAGCCGUUGGGCAGAUUUAACUGUUCAGUGGCACAGCUAACGCAUUAAGUUCUCCGCCUGGGGAGUACG